rnacentral:rRNA from 1 species
UGGGGAAUAUUGGACAAUGGGCGCAAGCCUGAUCCAGCAACGCCGCGUGGAGGACGAAGGUCUUCGGAUCGUAAACUCCUGUCAGAUGGGACGAAGGGAUCAGGGUAAAUAAUCCUGGUUCUUGACGGUACUAUCAGAGGAAGCCCCGGCUAACUCCGUGCCAGCAGCCGCGGUAAUACGGAGGGGGCGAGCGUUAUUCGGAAUUAUUGGGCGUAAAGGGCGCGUAGGCGGCUUGGCAAGUCAAAGGUGAAAUCCCUCGGCUCAACUGAGGAACUGCCUUUGAAACUGCCUGGCUUGAGGCCGGGAGGGGGUAGCGGAAUUCCCAGUGUAGCGGUGAAAUGCGUAGAUAUUGGGAGGAACACCAGUGGCGAAGGCGGCUACCUGGACCGGUUCUGACGCUGAUGCGCGAAAGCGUGGGUAGCAAACAGG